rnacentral:rRNA from 1 species
UACGUAGGCAGCAAGCGUUGUUCGGAGUUACUGGGCGUAAAGGGUGUGUAGGCGGUUGGAUAAGUGUGGUGUGAAAUCUCCCGGCUCAACUGGGAGGGUGCGCUACAAACUGUCUGACUAGAGUGUGGGAUGGGGAAAGUGGAAUUCCGUGGUGUAGCGGUGAAAUGCGUAGAUAUCAGGAGGAACACCGGUGGUGUAGACGGCUUUCUGGACCAUAACUGACGCUGAGACACGAAAGCGUGGGUAGCAAACAGG